rnacentral:pre_miRNA from 17 species
UGUCUCUCUCUGUGUCCUGCCAGUGGUUUUACCCUAUGGUAGGUUACGUCAUGCUGUUCUACCACAGGGUAGAACCACGGACAGGAUACCGGGACGCU